rnacentral:rRNA from 1 species
AUUGAACGCUGGCGGCAGGCCUAAUACAUGCAAGUCGAGCGGAUGAAGGGAGCUUGCUCCUGGAUUCAGCGGCGGACGGGUGAGUAAUGCCUAGGAAUCUGCCUGGUAGUGGGGGAUAACGUCCGGAAACGGGCGCUAAUACCGCAUACGUCCUGAGGGAGAAAGUGGGGGAUCUUCGGACCUCACGCUAUCAGAUGAGCCUAGGUCGGAUUAGCUAGUUGGUGGGGUAAAGGCCUACCAAGGCGACGAUCCGUAACUGGUCUGAGAGGAUGAUCAGUCACACUGGAACUGAGACACGGUCCCGACUCCUACGGGAGGCAGCAGUGGGGAAUAUUGGACAAUGGGCGAAAGCCUGAUCCAGCCAUGCCGCGUGUGUGAAGAAGGUCUUCGGAUUGUAAAGAACUUUAAGUUGGGAGGAAGGGCAGUAAGUUAAUACCUUGCUGUUUUGACGUUACCAACAGAAUAAGCACCGGCUAACUUCGUG